rnacentral:rRNA from 1 species
AGCAGCCGCGGUAAUUCCAGCUCCAAUAGCGUAUAUUAAAGUUGUUGCAGUUAAAAAGCUCGUAGUUGAAUUUCGGGGUUAGCAGGUCGGUCGUGCCAAUGGUAUGCACUGGCUCGCUGACUCCUCCUUCUUGUAGAACCGUAAUGCCAUUAAUUUGGUGUUGCGGGGAAACAGGACUGUUACUUUGAAAAAAUUAGAGUGUUUAAAGCAGGCUAGCGCCUGAAUACAUUAGCAUGG